AUUGAACGCUGGCGGCAUGCUUUACACAUGCAAGUCGAACGGCAGCGCGGGCUUCGGCCUGGCGGCGAGUGGCGAACGGGUGAGUAAUGCAUCGGAACGUGCCCAGUAGUGGGGGAUAGCCCGGCUACAGCCGGCUUAAUACCGCAUACGACCUGAGUUUGAAAGCCGGGGACCUAAAGGCCUCGCUCUAUUUGCUCUGCCGAUGUCGGAUUAGCUAGUUGGUGGGGUAAAGGCUUACCAAGGCGACGAUCCGUAGCUGGUCUGAGAGGACGACCAGCCACACUGGGACUGAGACACGGCCCAGACUCCUACGGGAGGCAGCAGUGGGGAAUUUUGGACAAUGGGGGAAACCCUGAUCCAGCAAUGCCGCGUGAGGGAAGAAGGCCUUCGGGUUGUAAACCGCUUUUGUUCGGGAAGAAAUCCUCUGGGCUAAUACCCCGGGGGGAUGACGGUACCGGAAGAAUAAGCACCGGCUAACUACGUG
rnacentral:rRNA from 1 species